rnacentral:rRNA from 1 species
AGUGAACGCUGGCGGUAGGCCUAACACAUGCAAGUCGAACGGCAGCACAGUAAGAGCUUGCUCUUACGGGUGGCGAGUGGCGGACGGGUGAGGAAUACAUCGGAAUCUACUUUUUCGUGGGGGAUAACGUAGGGAAACUUACGCUAAUACCGCAUACGACCUACGGGUGAAAGCAUGGGAUCUUCGGACCUUGCGCGAUUGAAUGAGCCGAUGUCGGAUUAGCUAGUUGGCGGGGUAAAGGCCCACCAAGGCGACGAUCCGUAGCUGGUCUGAGAGGAUGAUCAGCCACACUGGAACUGGGACACGGACCAGACUCCUACGGGAGGCAGCAGUGGGGAAUAUUGGACAAUGGGCGCAAGCCUGAUCCAGCCAUACCGCGUGGGUGAAGAAGGCCUUCGGGUUGUAAAGCCCUUUUGUGGGGAAAGAAAAGCAGCAGGUUAAUACCCCGCUGUUCUGACGGUACCCAAAGAAUAAGCACCGGCUAACUUCGUG